UCCCCAUACAAAGAGAAGGACAGAGCUCUCUGCUAAUGCAAUAUGGAGUACCUUAUGUCCAAGCUAUUAUAUAUCUUCAGAAGCUCCUUCCUCUGAAACUUGCUGCAGCUGGUUCUGAAGAUAAAUAUUCAGAUAUGGAAAUGUUGUUGUUGUCACAACCACCAAUCAAAGAUUGACUUUCGUUCUGCAACGUAAAGCCGGACAUGCCUCAACAAUUGAAAGCGAGGCUUCGAGAAAAAGAGGAAGAGGAUUGGCAUAAGAUUCAACACGUACCCUCCACUAACAUACACGAGUUAGAUGUGGAUAUGGUGUUCUUGUGACUAGCAAUUUCAUGAUCUCUCCAAAGCAAAGCGGUAUUUGAUGCCUAGAAGUGGACAACAAGGACAUGGAUCCUACAUAGUGGGCCAAGUUUAUCAUCUAAAUAGCAACACUUAUUUUGCCCAUGUCUUCAGCAUCAUAAGUUUUGAUUAUAUGUUUGAAACGAAGGUAAAUGAGAAGACUUUUUGUUCAAGUUUUGAUUUUCAAAACAUUGUUAUUAUGUGAUUGUAGAAAGGGAAUUAAUAACUGUGACUUUGUUUGAGGAGAAAUCCACUGAAAGUUUGUUCUGUUUUAUGGUUCCUAUUUUGGCUUCCUCAUUUUUGAAUAGCAUAAGAUAUUUGGAUGAUGUUUUCAGUUCUUCAGUACAAUGAAGAGUUCCCGUAAUGUUUGACUUGUAUUAAUGUAUUUAUCUCUGGAUGUAAGAUGCUUAUUCAAAGUGGGAGCAACUAUUUAUAGUGUAGGCUUGGGGGUCCAUAAUGCUUACAUGGAUGCAUGAUCAAAGCUGCUCAUCAGGUGCAAGCCACUAUAUGGCUUUCCUUGUGCAGAAUUUAGGGAACUCUUCAAGGAGCCAGUACGUUUGGAUUUGCUUGCAGUCAAUCCAUUCUUUGAAACGCCAUAUCAGACAUUGACCGUCAGAUUAGAAGCUUCAUUCUGUAAAGUUUUUGGCGCAUCUGCCAUCUAUGGCAAUUAUCAAAUUAAAGUUUUUAUCCCACAACUGCUAGCCCUACUUUCUAAGUUGUAAGUUUAUCGCGACGCUUCAACCCAAUGCACUAGGAACUUCUGUUUUCUCAAUGAUUAGUUUUAGGGGUUGGUCCGGCGUUUGGAUAAGAAAUUUCACUGUCAGUUACAAUACAACGUAAGGUUACUUUCAGAUGGAACUUGUUUGCAACUUAAAAGGUUACAGGCAUCCAAACACCCAAUUGAAAUAACUAUAUGCUUCGACUACUUUUAUCGAUUCAAGCAAACAAAUUCUAGCAUUUGACUUUCAGGUUUUACUUACAAAUUUGAUUUAGGAAAUAUGGUGAUGACCACUAGACGGAUGUGGAGAAUGGUGGAAUGGUGAUUCGACAGUGAUGAGAUGUUUGGAUGAUAUUUUCUAGCUGAGGAUAUCUGUAUCUUUUGCAACCAAUUGUUCAAUAUGGUACAAUGUGCUAAUA